rnacentral:rRNA from 1 species
UGAGCAAUCUGCCCUUCUCAUCGGAAUAAGCGUUGGAAACGACGUCUAAUGCCGAAUACGACCUCCUUUCGCAUGAUCGGAGGUGGAAAGCUCCGGCGGAGAAGGAUGAGCUCGCGGCCUAUCAGCUAGUUGGUGUGGGUAAUGGCCCACCAAGGCGACGACGGGUAGCCGGCCUGAGAGGGUGACCGGCCACACUGGGACUGAGACACGGCCCAGACCCCUACGGGAGGNAGCG